rnacentral:piRNA from 1 species
UGGAACUAAUUGCAUGGCAUACAAUCUUAGC